GGAAGAGCAUGAUUGGGGGUGGAAAAAGUUUAUGGAACUGUCAGAAUUACACGAUGGCUUUAUUGCACAGGAUGCUCUUACCAUCAAAGCCAAAGUUCAAGUCAUUAGGGAGAAGAUAGACCGUCCAUUUCGUUGCCUUGAUGGCCAGUACCGAAGGGAACUAAUUAGGGUGUAUCUAUCAAAUGUGGAACAAAUUUAUCGGCGUUUUAUUGAUGAAAAAAGAAGGACGUUCAGCAGGCUGAUUGAGGAUAAACUCGGGUGGUCCAGUUUCAGUGGAUUCUGGCUAGCCAUUUUUCAUCUUUGAUUUUAUCUGAACAGAUACUUGAACUCGCUAUCAACUUUCAGUAGACC